UUCGAGGGGUAAACCACUAUUUUGUGAUUAACAUGGUUAAUCAGUUAAUCUGUUAAUCAGAAACAUAAGUUUUGUGAAUCCAAACGGUUAAUCGGUGAUUAACAUUGAUUAACCGCUAUAUUUCACGUUUAUUUGUAGUUUUGCGACGAUUCCCCCGGUCAAAUGCUGGUUAAUCAGCAAUUCUCUUUAUAUGUAA